ACCAUGAGCUACUGUUCACUUUGGUGCUGGCCACCCCACAGCUUCCUGGGACACAGAAGACAACCCCAGGACUGCAGUAACUGAGGGCUGAAGAUGGAAAAAUCACAAUUUCCUUUAUUCCUCUGACUCCUGAAAAGAAGAUAUGGUGCUCAGUGAUAUGCUGUGGAGAUAUGACAGCAAAUCCACUCAAAAAUGAAGAAAAACCUUACUUCAGAAAUGAAGGCUGGAAUAAAGGUUGCUUUCCCUUUAUAUCACUCAGUUUGUUAGCUGAGACCUACUGAACACAACCGGUCCCCGACCCUUACCACCACCACCAAAAAAAACUCCACCAAAAAUAAAAUGCCCUAAUGAUAUUUAGAAUGCAGUAAUAGUCUUGGAGGGAGACUAGACUAUCUUAAUAUGUGAAGUGAUAUUAUAUAUAAUAAACAGCAGUGCCACUGUCUUCAACACCUUUGAAAGUCACUGGCUGGCGCUUCGGACCCUCCAGAGAUGUCCUAUUUUAUCUCCUCCUCUCCUCAUUAAACUACUCUGCUCACAGUAGAAUUGAAGGUACAUUUUACAACUUAUUAUUAAACAUUUGUAUUUUGGUUUCAUUUAGUUCUAUUAUUGCAACUACGUGUGAAUCUAUUUUAAAAUUGGAAUGCUGCAAUAAUUCAGCUACUUGCUUAAUACAUAUUUCAUGUGAUUGCCAGGAAACCUAACCAUUUGCGGCAUUGUUUCUAAGGGAUAAAUGGACUUUUGGAUCAUAUCCUCAUUAUAAAUAAGAGGCUGCCCGUACACUUAAUAAGAAUGGGGUUUGUACCAGGUGUUGCAUAGGAAACAUUAGAUGGAAAACUAUAGACCAAAUGAUUUUUGCUGUGCUAAAUUUCACACGUAGAGAGAUCUUGAUUUGCUUCCUAACUCUGUCACUGUUAUGCUGUUGAUUUUAAUUUUAAUUAAAACUUUUUGCCCAUUUUCUUGAUUCCUGGAACUCUAGAAUUUUGGAAAUAACAAAGCAUAUAGCUGUCUUUUCUUCAGAUGUAUAGAGCUUUAGGUUAUAAAGGUCCUUUAAGUUUAGCACACAUGUUAGAUAGUACACUUCAUUCCAUGGUAGUAUAGUUUCCUUACUUGCUGAGUUAAAACUGUGAUUUUUGUCUUCUCUGAAAGAAGAAAUAAAUUUUAAGUAAAGAAAACAAACAACCAAACUUCAAAUUCUUAUCAGAAAAUCAUCAAUAUUACUUUGGACUUAAUAAUUCAAUAAAAGAGAAUAUAUAUCUGAAUUGUCCUUACUAUUUUUUCAUAAGCAUAUUACCACACAUAACCAUGCUUUAAACUGCCCAAUUUUCAUGAACAAAGCAGAAGAGGAUCUGAGCCAAACUGAGAGUGAAUUAGAUGUGUGAAUAUUGAAUACAAAUUACCAGUCACUGUCCAGUGUUUAGAAUUUUUAUCUGUGCCCCUUCCCGUUCACAAAGAAAAUCAAGACACUUCCAUGGCAUGAAAGUGACGUCAUUAUCUUGAAAUGAUUAAAUUUAAAAUCUCAGUUUGUUAACAGACAAAACAUUUCUUUCUGUCUGUCUCACUGAAACAUACCAGAUCUACCUUCUCUUCUUUUGCCUUCAACCAUUUUCUUGAACAAAAGCAGAAAGAAUAAAAGAUCCUGGCUUUUGUGUGUUCUGUGUAGUUUAUGUGCUAAAUGGUAGUCAACCAUAUAAACGAUAGCAGAAACUUCCUUUUGGAAGGUCUUUCAUCUCUGAAAGCAGCUUACUGUAGCCAUCACCGUUAAUUUUAUUACUGGCACUCAGGAAUAAACCUAGUUAACUGCAGCUUCAGAGUAUAUUUGCAUAUAAUGACUAUCCUGGGAAUUCACAGUUCUGGGGUAAAUAGCCCGUUUUCCACUUUGAUGCCUCAGGGUGGUUUGAGUUUUAAAGCACUAAUAACACUGAUGGACAAUGGGCAGUUCACAGUUUUGUUUCUUUAUUUCCCUAAAGUACAUCAAAGGGGAUUUCGCUGGCUUAGCAGUGAUUCACACUAAUGAUACCUAGAAAUUUCACCUGACCAUAAGGUCACCGGAAGUCAGGCAUGUGAUGUGGUUGUCAAAAGCAAACGUGUUUUGAACUGUCUUAAUAGAGCAAGAACACCAGUCACUGUACACUGGGCUGGUCAGAUCGUUGCAGUCCUAGGUCAGAUGGCAGGGUCCCACUGUAAGGAAGGCAUUGCCAAAGUGCAGUGUCUUCAGAGGAUGCUGUGGAAUCUGCUAUGCCCAAAGCAACUGGAAGCAUUACUUCAGGAAGUUAACUUGCAGUCCGUAACCUGAAAUCCCUGAGAAAUGGGCAGAGAAAAUGCUUGCACUUUUUCAAAGCCAGGCUUUGUCUGAGGAGUGAUUCGUUUUUUGUUAGAGGCUGGAUGUACCACUUCAUACAUUGACUCCUAAGAAGGCUUUAAGAGUUGAUAUGCCGAACAUUGUGACUUUCUUUACACCUAGGAAAAAAAAAUCUCAUUCACCAAAUAUUAUUCUUAAGCAACAUUUUGACAUUGUCAUAGCAAACUUUCUCAAGGCCUAGAGGAAUGGAAACACCAGUGUGGAGGCUUUUUUCAAAAAUAUUAACCUUUACAAAAUGAAAUGGCAUUUGGAUUUAACGACAUGGAGCUCUACUAUAUACACAAACUCCAUGAAUGCCUUAUGUCCGCAAGUUCGGUUCAAACUUCAAUGUUUCGGAGUGCUUGCCUUGACCAAGAGAGAAAACCUUGACAUUUUUCUGCUCUAUAAUUUACGGUUUAUUACAUCUCUUGUAACUAUUUUUUAUUGUUUAUUUUCCAUUGUUUUCCAUGAUAUAUAUCAAUUUUAAACCUUGCAGGAUUG